rnacentral:rRNA from 1 species
GGCCCAGAUCGUUUACCGUGAAAAAAUUAGAGUGUUCAAAGCGGGCAGAUCCAAUUUUCUGCCACCGAAUACAUUAGCAUGGGAUAAUGGAAUAGGACUCUGUCCUCUUAUUUUCAGUUGGUUUUGGCACGCGAGGACCAGGGUAAUGAUUAAUAGGGAUAGUUGGGGGCAUUAAUAUUUAAUUGUCAGAGGUGAAAUUCUUGGAUUUAUGAAAGAUUAACUUCUGCGAAAGCAUCUGCCAAGGAUGUUUUCAUUAAUCAAGAACGAAAGUUAGGGGAUCGAAGACGAUCAGAUACCGUCGUAGUCUUAACCAUAAACGAUGCCGACCAGCGAUUAGGAGACGUUGAAUACAAAACACCACCAUCGGUGCGGUCGUCCUUGGCGCGUCGUGGCUUGCUGCGGCGUGCGAGGGCGGUUUAGCC